CUAAAACCUGUAAGAUUUCACUUACAUCAUCUGAAUGCAACUCA
rnacentral:tRNA from 1 species